CCUAUGGAGUUCCACUGCAUCCUCAUCACCAAGGAUUUGGGUUCCCUUCGGGUGUUCCUCCACCUGGCCAUAGUUAUUUCCCCACGUACGGUAUGCCUGUCAUGAGCUUCAACGUUUCGGGUUCAUCUGUAGAACAAACGAACCGGUUUUCCCGACCUGUCCAAUACGGUCAAACGGGCCAAUUAUCUGGAGGGGAAGUUAACAAUCUGCAGCAUCAGAAUUCAUCUAACUUACCUAAGCAGAGAAAAGGAUCAGUUGCUCAGAUCAAAUUCCAAGCCAAUAAAGACAGUGAGUUGCAGGUGAGCACGGCAAGCAGUCCUAGCGAGAAACCACCAGAGGGACUUGGGAAUGUCCAAUCCUCAGACGGAAAAGAAGCACUCCCACUUUUUCCAGUUGCUCCAGCGGUUUCUGAAGGGGGAUCUCAGCUUCGCGAGGCGGAGCAGCCUACAAGGGUUAUUAGAAGUGUGCCUCACAACGCUAGAUCUGCAACAGAGUCUGUGGCUCGAAUAUUCAGGUCUAUACAAGAAGAGAGGAAACAGUUCGACUCCAUUUAGGGGCUCGGCUGACUAUGUUUGUCUCUCAUAAAGUCGUAAACUCGGAAACUCAUUUGAGUUCUGAGCGUGAGAGCUUCUGUAUUUGUGUUAUAUUCGUCUUUUGGUCCUUAUAGAUUGGUCUGUAAAUUAGGUUAUCCUAUGUGGAAGUUCAUAACCGGAUUAUAUUUGUCAUCUCGGUGUAAGUUGCUAGAGGUGUCUUUUGGUAAGGUAAAUUUUGUUCCUGUGAAUCGGUGCCUAUAUAUCACUACAGUGUAACUUCCAAUCGAAUAGCCAUCUUGUGUUUUGCCUGUUGUAUCAGUAAUUUUAUCAUUCCUUGUCUUUAUCAAGGGAGUUGAGCUCAUGACUGUUGGGUGCUGUAAAAUCGCUCAACGAUGACACGAUUUCCCGGAUUGAUUUCGGCAUGUCCUCGCUUGGUGCCCAUAAGUAAAUCUCGACUUUUGAGCAGUUCUUUGUUGUGGACGUAUUAGUGAUGCUUGAUGAGGGAACUUUUGACCUAUAGCAUUUGUCAUCCCUGGGGAACGGAAAGGGGAUGUGUAGGGGCAAAAGCUAUUUCACUACUACUGAAGGGGAGUUCAAUAGGUUGUGACCCCAAAUGAAAUUCUUUGGAAGGACAUUUUGUUUGCUACACUUGCAUGACAUUCACAUAUUACUCAUCAUCAUGGGCAGAAAUGAUUUUGUCCCGGUCCGCCGAAGUAGAACACGGGCUCGCCGACGUACCCUUCUCUAUGGUUGUUCCCAUUGUAGCAGUACACUUCAUCACUAUAAACCCCAACCCACUCCGGGUACUUGAGUGAGAGUGAGAAGUCCACGAUCCUAACGUGGUUGAUGUAGCAGGCAUGGCCAUGGAGUGCCUCUGAGUACUCCCCACUUCCCAUGGCAGUUCUGGUGUGAGGAGUCUUCUUCACCAUCGUACUGUACACUUGACCUCCCCAGUUGACCAUUAUGGCGCUGCGCUUCAGGUAGAAGAAAAGGGAUCCUGGAAAAUACCCGAGGACCAGGUUGUUCGUGAGGCGUAGCCACCAGUUGGUAGAAUGAGGAUCCUGGUUCAAUGAUAACUAUCUCUGCUCAGAAAUAAUAUUUCCAGAAAGAGGACUCGCAACUUUUUAAGUUAAACCUGAAUUAAUGGGCGAACACGAUUCAGAUGAAAUUGUAAAAUGGUUGGAACGGUUAAGUCAGGAUUGACAUGAAGAGCAAAUCGUUGUCCAAGGGAACACGGACACCUUUGGGCAUUUGAAUGUAACUAGCCUGCUCAAACAGGGAUUUGCCGAUCCGGUCUAUUGCAAGUAAAGAAGGCAAAGAAGAUUGAGAAUUUAAGUACCAAGAAGAUGCCGACUGAUAUUUGAUAUUGUUCCCGUUCAGAAGAUAUCGGACCUAGAGCAGAGCCGAGGGCCACCUCAGAACUAGUUUGAACGAACCCAGAACAGGUCAAAUCGAAGCAGCCUGUGGAAACGCUUCCAUCAACCUAUGUAAUAGAGGAAAAGGAAGAUAAGCCAACCAAUUAAACGGUUCAGCUCCGCCCAGAAGGAAUGGUCUAUCAUGAUAGAGAACUCACGGUCCAAUGUGUGAAAAGCCGACUUUGCUUAUCUCCAUAUAAUUUUGGGUUCACCUGGGAAUAGGAAAAUCUUUCUGAGCUAUCUCAAUAUAUAACCAACAACUAACAGGUUGUAAGUAAAAGAGACCCCGACUGAAAUUGAAAGACAGACCAUCCAUCCUGCUUCAACACUUUCGUACUUAUUGCCGGGGCCACCCAGAAGCCAUAUCUGGGCUGUAGUGAAGUCAUCUGGCAAAUCAAGGUUUGGAUUCCAUAAGUUUAUGUCACUGGAAGCUCCUAUGUAGUUGUACCCUACUGUCACAAGGAUUGCUUGCUGCACAAGAAACAUAGUGAAAUAAUAUUACUAGACCCUAAAAUGUGAGGGAACAAGUUUCUGUAAGCAAGUCAACGAGGGGCGUUCAAUUCAGUUGAAGGAAUGCUUACAUCACGAUCUUUUGUAUAAGGAAGAGAGACUCGGGUUCCAUUUAUGACCACAUUUCGAACAUUUUCAUUGAGGGUUGAAUUAGCCACGUAGUCCUGUGAAUGAGGAUGGUACAUUUUCCCAAAUUGCUCGGGACUAGAAGCUCUCAACAAGUCUUGCCGCCGGACUCGUCGGAUGGGAAUAGUUCCCCGGGGACAACUUCCACUCUUUUGCCAAGUUUGAGCUAUUACUGGUUUUGAGGACUCAACUUUUGUUGCUUUGUUUCUGAAGGCAAUUUAAUGCUGGGUUCCAUCUGCAUUUUGAAGAAAGGAUAGUAAAUGAGGUUUCCAGGAAAUCCCCGCACCCCCCCCCAAAAAAAAAAAACAAAAAACAAAAAACAAAAAAAAAAGAAAAGAAGAAAGGAAAUAUGAGGCUGCUUUCAAUAUGUGUGAUGAUAACGUGCAAUCCGCUUGUUUGAGUUCCUGAGACUAGCUGAUUUAAUUAGAAUAAAAGCUAUUUAGAACUUAUGAGUCUUGAAAAAAUGUUGUCAUCAAAAUGUCAAUUGUAAGUAGGAGAGCUAUGGUUAGGAAACGGGCCUGAAUGACAUGCUCCUUCAUUGCGGGAUGGUCGAAGGCUGGUUGUUUGUGCAUGUCAACACAGUCGAUGAUAUCUCCAUCUGCACUCUAUCAAUCAAACCAAAAUUGGACAUCAGUCUGCAACUUAAUUUACUGGGAGUGAACAAGCUUUCAUUAAUUGUGUCCAUUAAGUAGCUAACGAACAAAAGGGUGCCUUGAAAACUCACUUUCCUUUUGUGUGUCUGAGUAAGUGCGUGCGUGAGAGGAAGAGAGAGAGAAAGAGAGCAACUUUUCUGAAAGAACUCAAAUUACAACCACAUCCUCUACUUAUCAACUCGAGCCAAUGUAUGAGUACUGUAGAUUUGACUGCAGCAAAAAGAUGGUUGCAUGGUUGAAGUACGGUGCAACAAAAAUACUGAGGACAUGGAAGAAAAAUUUAACAUUUCUUAUAUGGUGAUUUGUGGGGAUCCCAUAUAUGGCAUUACUUUCUGACCAAAACUGAAAAAAAAAGAAAAACAAAAGAAAGAAAGAAAAAAAAAGAAAGAAAAGGAGAGAGAGAAUAAAAGCAUAUCACGUAUUCAUAUCAUUAGUUCUAUUUGGAAUACAGCAAAAUUGUCCUGGAUCUUAUGGCACAUGUGCAGUUGAUCACCAAGAGUGUAAUCACUUUUUCCUGAAAUGGCUCCAGAAAAACAUGGGUUUUGUACCAAAAGCAAAUGUUCAGCGAUGGCUGUGGAACUGACUUUCAUCACAUUGUUAUAUGAAGAGACACCAGAAAUGAUUCAAAGAUCGAGGUUUUAUGAGAUAUUAGUGUAAGCUGAUGCAAAGUAGCCGAAAAUACAGAAAACACGUCGGAGAAUUUUGUUGCCCUCCAAACAAAAGAAGCUUUUCCGGGCCAAGAAAUCAAGGCCAGCGUCUCCUAUUUAAUGAAAUUCUCACAAUGGUUUUUCAAACCAUGAAUCAGUAUCAGCAGAAAGCCUAUUCAAAGAGGCGUUGAAGGAGAUAUGAUACCUGAAUGCUCUUCACUGCAGGCUUAUUAAGAAGCCUGAGUCUUCUAUCAAUAUCAUCCUCGUCCACCGCAGCCUCUCUAUUCAUUGAUUUUCUUGAUGCACUAUUAGCCAUUGUGGCCCAACACAAUGCCAUAGCCAAGAAGAGCAUAAAUCCCACUUUCUCCAUUCUUCCUUCGGCUUCUCAGCAGGAAAAUGACUGAAGGGGAAGCGAUUAAAAAAGAUUGAAAUGACACAAAAAAUGGAAAGUGCAAAACCGAUUCAAUGUUUGUCCACGAAAGCCAGGAACCUUGCAAAAUCCCAAUUUGCCACUGUGAUUGAUCACUUGACACAUUUGCUUCGGUUGAAACAGAAGGUACGCAUUUACUAACAAACAGCCAAAUAGAAAGAAAAGACAAUGAUACACCGACCAGAUUGUUUCUUGUGAAUUAAGUCAAGAUUGACUGAACUUUGACUUCUUCAGUUAACGUCAACACAGAAAAAGAUAAACUUUUAUGACUUUUCUGCCAAAUACCAUUGUGUUCUUCACAGAUUGCAGCAAUGCACGAUAAACUGACUGAAAAUGACCUGCACUGCAAGAAAAUUUUCCAGGCAUGCUGAUUAAGAGCAUGAAUUUUCUCUUAGCAGAAAAAGAUCAGGGAUCUAAAGUAUAAUUUAAAUAUGGGAAGUGCCAGCUCGUCAAACUUCAUAAAAGGCCUUGUGAUUAUGGCAUAAAAAUCUACGAGAUUUAUAUUUUGGACAAAUGUGGCUUUCUCUCUCUUUUUUUUUUUUGGUUGAAACAUAUCACUUACAUUUAACCAGCGAAGUUAGGAAGACAACCACAAUAAACUUCUAAACACACCAAAUCCCCAAGGGAUUAGAUAGCCAAUUAGAAGGGAGGUACUCUAAUCUAUGGGCUUCGGCAAUCCAAUCCGCAAACUGAUUGGCUUCGCAUAAACCUGUUGACCUGAAGUGCUUAAUAGAUGGGAUGAGAAUGGUUUACUUCCACACAUUUAAGCCGAGCCAGCAAGCCCAUACAAUCUUCAAUUACUGUGUUAUGGCUUCACCCACAUGAGUUUGUUAUGGUGUUCCGGCCUGGACUUCACGUUUAACCUGAUGAGAAGCAUGCCUCCAGGUUUAGUUUAGCCUGCCGGUUGAUCAGGUCUGAAAUUCUAAGACAUAUAAGAAAGGCUUUCAAUUGGUGAAAAGGAAACGGAAAAAUAAGUGUCCUUUUUCUAUAAACUCUGUUCCUAACAUCUGCCGUACCAGGAUCAAUCUGAAAAACGUAGAAACUAGCAGCCGCGGUGUCUAGUCAAGGGCACAACGCAUUCCAUCCAGGACCUCCGAAAUAAAACUCAGGAUCUUCAAUAUCCCCAAGGUUAAACUCUUCUGUGUAGUGGUCAAUCUCUUCCGGGAACUUCAGGAUCAUCAAGUUGUCACAGACCCGUACCCUCGUCACUUAUUUGCUCAAUUCUUAAGGAAAACUGCAUGCUGCCCAUCCAUGUUGAGGUGUGGGGCAAAAAUUUCCCUAUUCUUGAGCUAUACACUUCGCCUCCCCACUGCACGGUCUGUGCAAUUUGAGGUAGGUAGGUGAGUGGCUCGGGCAGGAAGUAACCAACAUUCGUCUUCUCAUCAUAUUGAACCCACCAUUUAUUGGUGUUUGGAUCUGAAAUUGCACGGAAAAGUCUUUGCCAACAUCUUUCAAUUCAUCAAAGAAGCUAAAAGUAACUAAUUUGUGAAUUCUUCGAGUAGUAUCUCAAUGUGGUCAUAGAUCAGUACUAUCUGACACUUAAGGGAUAAAGUGUUAUUUGAUAGGGAAGGCCAUCCUUUGUCCAGAUGGGAUGAAUGGCCGUGCUGAGGGCCAUCUUGCUGCUCGUUUGAACAAAACCAGGGCAAGUGAGAUCAAAGCAGCCGAUUUUUUUCCCAGAGUCAGCCUGAUACACAGAAGAGGAAGAUACAAUGUUGGUUUUGCAAUGUCAUACCAAAGAUAGGCCAAACAAAGAUCAAGUCAAGGUGUGAAUGGAAGCCCUACUUAGCAUUAAAAAAAAAGGAAACAUUUGUCCCAGUGACUGCCAAUGAGACCUGGUAUAUUUGUCAUGUUCAUUUAAAUGGAAAAUGAGUUUGGAUGAUGAGUUAACUGUCCAAUAUGCAAAUACACAAGUCUUCCAGUUGACAUACAUGCCAGGAUUCAACUGAAAAGUUUGGAAUCGUUAGGCGUUGGGUUAGAAUUACUGGAAAGCAACUGUCACAAAGCUAUCACUUCGGUUAAUCUGCAAAGGCCAAGAUCUGAUACUUGUUUGGGAGAAAACCAGAGAUGUCCACCUGAGCCUAAUAGCUUUGGUAUGGAAAUCUUAAAUGAGAUAUGUGUUGCUCAUAGUUGACGCUGGCAGGAAUGGCGAUGCAUCCAAAGUCUUCAUUACAGAUUAAAAACAUUUCUGGAAAGUCAGGAGAGCAAUUGUCAAGUAAGUGCCUGUAUGCUUAACCCCGGACACGUUCAUCCAGAUUUAAAAUCUGAGGCUGUUAUUGCCUUACUCUCAAUUUUUUGUGAUUUUGUUCUUGCAUGUAAAAAAGAUUCAAAGUAUUCUUUUUAAAUUGUCCAGUUUGGUUAUAGAAGUUGAGUCAUCAGAACUUGUAAUGUUCAGGCUAAACUGCAAAAAGGUCAAAUUUUAAGGACUUUGGAUGCAAUUCUCCCAUUAUUCUCUCCUUCAUUGUGCCAUUGUAUUUUCUCUCUAGAAAUAUUUCCGUCUCCAUGUUUUCUCUUGUUCUUGCUUGCCAUAUUGUGAGCAUUCAGUAAUAAUGAGGGCAUGGUGCAGCAGGGGACAUGGCGGAAGGUAGUCCGGUGACAUGUCUUGGACCAUUUCCGAGUGAUAUGGUGACCAAAAGGAUUAUUUGUCAUGUUGCACCUUGGUAUUUGUGGUAUCAGAAAUGGAUGCCAAUCCAUUCUGCAUAUGCAAUUUCUAGGUAUAAUUUUGCUUUGGUGCAUAUGAAUCCUGACUCUAUGAUCUUCAUAGACUAAUUGUCUGGUUUUAGAAAAUAUAUCGGCUGUAGUCCUAGCUUUGGUAUUGUGCACAGUACCUGAUGUAAGGGUAGUUGAUGUUGUGAUAAAAAAAGAUAGAAAAUUUAGGUGCAAGGUUAUGGAGAUAUCAAGGCAAUAUUUGAAGUACUUUUGCCUGUGAUUGCUCUGCUACUGUCAUUCUUAGUACUGGCCAGAUUUUGGAUGAGUUUAGUUGGAUGCUUCAUGCCUUCCAAUGUGUGGAACUCCUCAUAAGGAGUUAUAGUAGAAUUUGGGUAGACUGUUGUUCAUCCAGAUCUAUGCUAUUGACCAUCUGAUUUGAUUGGAGUAUUUGCUUGUCUUUUGUAUGCCUAAGUCGAUGAAUUUUUUAUUGUCUCUGUCUAGACAUAACUCCCUGUUACUCAUUUCAGUCGACAGAAAGUGUUAGCAGUUCAAGUCUUUGAGUUGCAUAGACUGAUAAAGGUACGCUGGAUGUCGCUCUUCAGUGGAAUUAUUUGGCAAAGUCUGGUAGUAGUAACGUAUCUCAAUGCAUUUACAGGUCCAGAAGUUGAUUGCUGGGUCACUAUAUCUUCUAAAUUGUGGGUGCUUCUGGCUUAGGCAAAACUUCUCAGUCAACUCUCCUGGGAAGAAAUUUUGCGAGGACCAUAAUGGUAGAUAUCCGUUAUAGUAGAAUUUGGGAUGUUUGCUUUUUCCUCUUUUGUUGACUUUUCAAACCCUCUUUCUUUCUUUUUUUUUUUUUUUUUUGGUAAGGAAAUAUGAACCCUUUUAUUUAUAAAAGAAGAUAGAACAAAAGAAGCAGAAUAGUUCUUUUUCUUUUUUUUUUAAGCCCAUAUUUUACAAACAUCCCAAACCCUGCUCAUGGCGUUCCGUUGCAUCGUCAUCACCAAGGAAUUGGGUUCCCUUCAGGUGUUCCUCCACAAGGCCAGAGUUAUUUCCCCACGUACGGUAUGCCCGUCAUGAGCUUCAAUGCUUCAGGUUCAUCUGUAGAACAAACGAACCAGUUUUCUCGAUCUGUCCAAUAUGAUCAAACACGCCAAUUAUCCAGAGGGGAAGUUGACAAUCUGCAACAUCAGAAUUCAUCUUCUGCAACAUCAGAAUUCAUCUAACACACCUAUGCAGG
rnacentral:lncRNA from 1 species